rfam:Ciona savignyi cont_31693, whole genome shotgun sequence.
AUUGGGUUGGCCGAGUGGUUAAGGCGUUGGACUUAAGUUCCAAUGGACAAGUGUCCGCGUGGGUUCGAACCCCACACACCAGUA